rnacentral:rRNA from 1 species
GACGUAGGGGGCCAGCGUUGCUCGGAAUUACUGGGUGUAAAGGGUUCGUAGGCGGUGUGGCAAGUCGGGAGUGAAAUCUCUGGGCUCAACCCAGAGUCUGCUUCCGAAACUGCUGUGCUUGAGUGUGGGAGAGGCGCGUGGAAUUGCAGGUGUAGCGGUGAAAUGCGCAGAUAUCAGGAGGAACACCGAUGGCGAAGGCAGGUCUCUGGGCCACUACUGACGCUGAGAAGCGAAAGCAUGGGGAGCGAACAGG